rnacentral:sRNA from 1 species
AAUCUUUUUAACCUUAAUUAUCUCAAUUAGCUUUCAAAAAACCUAAUUCACCUAAUAAUCCUAAUCAGAAAACUUUUUCCCCAAAUUUGGCUUCCUCUUCUUCGCGAACAAACCCGAGCAUCAGAGGAUCCUUCGUCGUCCUGCAAGGGCGACAUUAUUAUCCUUUCUCUUUUUCAUUUUGGUUUAUUAGCAAGGAAUUAUUAUUCUUCUUCUUCUUCUUUGCUUUAGGUUCGCGCAUCCAACCCAACCUAGGGUUUUCUCCGUCACGCGAGAGACAACCAACCUGGGGGAUCAUUAAUGACGCGGCGGAGAUGCGACGGAAACGCGGCGUGGUCGCAAGGGUGUGGUGGUUGUUGUUCUUCUCUUCAUUCUGAUUCACAGCAAAGGAGAAAGUUUCCUUGCCACCUCCUUUUCUAAUUUCGAUUGGGUUUUUUUCUGUUUGAUUGUUUCUCUACAGGAGUGGUAGUGAGAGUGUGCCAACCUCGCUCUUGCAAUGAUUUGGAUUUUGCAUUUCGUCUUGAGGGUUGAUUUAUGAGUUUCUCAUCCAUUGUAGCAUGAGUCGUGAAGAGUGGUCGCAUCGUUUUGAGUUAUGAUUUAGGAAUUCUCUUUUGGGGUUAUAUGUUCUUCUAUUUCGAUCUUGAAAGUUGGAUAUUUGAAUUACAAAUCAUCAAGAACCUUACUUUGAAUUCAAAUAUCUUCAUGUUGUUUGUCACUUGUUCGCAUUGAAAUCUCUAAUUCCCUUUUUAAUUUUCUCUUUCUUUAACCCUAUUUAGUUCAGAAAGCCCUAAUUUGAAAAAAACAAAAGC